GUCCCACGUUGUCACCUGCGGGGACACGGUGGCCUUGUGGGGACACCCGGGGGGACGUGGUGGCCCCACAAGGGGACGUGGUGGCCCCACGGGGACGUUGGGGUGGACACGAGGACCUCGUGCUGGUUGGGGACACCACGGGGGGGUCCUGGAGGUGUUGAGGGCCUGGGGACACCACGGGGAGGUUGGGGGGGACCUGAGGGGUCUGGGGACACCAUGGGGCCACCACGAGGGCCAUGGUGGCCACCAUGGGACACCUAAGGGCUACAAGGCCACCAUGGGGCACCCAAGGGCCACGAGGCCACCAUGGGACACCCAAGGGCAUUGAGGCCACCAUGGGACACCCAAGGGCCACGGGGCCACCAUGGGACACCCAAAGCC
rnacentral:lncRNA from 1 species